CAUUGGUGUCCUGCCUUUAGACUCAGAUUCAGUCUGGAAGUUAUGCCAUCAGCUCUUCUAGGUCUGGACUUCUUCGCCUUCAUAAUCAUGAAGCACAAAGGUCUCCCACUGAAGACAAUGUUAGACCCUCAGUGACCUGAAGGUGGCACCAGAGGAAUCUACAUGAACAAGCUUUACUGACCAGCCUUCACUCACUUGCCUUCCCACAAGUUGCUGCCCCUAGAGAUUCAAAAUCCUCUGUGUCUUGUCACGUCUCUAAAAAUCUACUGUUCUUGGUCGAAGAUGCUAUAUAAGCUGGGAUUCAAAGCCACCACUAUGAGAAUGACUCAUUUCCUGGGUAGCUCCUGUGUAUGUAUGAAAGGCACUUGUUAAUAAACUGUUUUUUCUCAUUAAUUUGA